rnacentral:rRNA from 1 species
GAUGAACGCUGGCGGCGUGCCUAAUACAUGCAAGUCGAACGAAACUUCUUUAUCACCGAGUGCUUGCACUCACCGAUAAAGAGUUGAGUGGCGAACGGGUGAGUAACACGUGGGCAACCUGCCCAAAAGAGGGGGAUAACACUUGGAAACAGGUGCUAAUACCGCAUAACCAUAGUUACCGCAUGGUAACUAUGUAAAAGGUGGCUAUACUACCGCUUUUGGAUGGGCCCGCGGCGCAUUAGCUAGUUGGUAGGGUAAAGGCUUACCAAGGGAAUGAUGCGUAGCCGAAUUGAGCGGUUGAUCGGCCACAUUGGGACUGAGACACGGCCCAAACUCCUACGGGAGGCAGCAGUAGGGAAUCUUCCACAAUGGGCGAAAGCCUGAUGGAGCAACGCCGCGUGGGUGAAGAAGGUCUUCGGAUCGUAAAACCCUGUUGUUAGAGAAGAAAGUGCGUGAGAGUAACUGUUCACGUUUCGACGGUAUCUAACCAGAAAGCCACGGCUAACUACGUG